rnacentral:rRNA from 3 species
GGGUUGUGAGGUUAAGCGACUAAGCGUACACGGUGGAUGCCCUGGCAGUCAGAGGCGAUGAAGGGCGUGCUAAUCUGCGAUAAGCGCCGGUAAGGUGAUAUGAACCGUUAUAACCGGCGAUACCCGAAUGGGGAAACCCAGUGUGACUCGUCACACUAUCAUUAACUGAAUCCAUAGGUUAAUGAGGCGAACCGGGGGAACUGAAACAUCUAAGUACCCCGAGGAAAAGAAAUCAACCGAGAUUCCCCCAGUAGCGGCGAGCGAACGGGGAGGAGCCCAGAGCCUGAAUCAGCAUGUGUGUUAGUGGAAGCGUCUGGAAAGGCGCGCGAUACAGGGUGACAGCCCCGUACACAAAAGCGCAUGUGCUGUGAGCUCGAUGAGUAGGGCGGGACACGUGGUAUCCUGUCUGAAUAUGGGGGGACCAUCCUCCAAGGCUAAAUACUCCUGACUGACCGAUAGUGAACCAGUACCGUGAGGGAAAGGCGAAAAGAACCCCGGCGAGGGGAGUGAAAAAGAACCUGAAACCGUGUACGUACAAGCAGUGGGAGCACCCUUUGGGUGUGACUGCGUACCUUUUGUAUAAUGGGUCAGCGACUUAUAUUCUGUAGCAAGGUUAACCGAAUAGGGGAGCCGGAGGGAAACCGAGUCUUAAUUGGGCGUUAAGUUGCAGGGUAUAGACCCGAAACCCGGUGAUCUAGCCAUGGGCAGGUUGAAGGUUGGGUAACACUAACUGGAGGACCGAACCGACUAAUGUUGAAAAAUUAGCGGAUGACCUGUGGCUGGGGGUGAAAGGCCAAUCAAACCGGGAGAUAGCUGGUUCUCCCCGAAAGCUAUUUAGGUAGCGCCUCGUGAAUUCAUCUCCGGGGGUAGAGCACUGUUUCGGCUAGGGGGCCAUCCCGGCUUACCAACCCGAUGCAAACUGCGAAUACCGGAGAAUGUUAUCACGGGAGACACACGGCGGGUGCUAACGUCCGUCGUGAAGAGGGAAACAACCCAGACCGCCAGCUAAGGUCCCAAAGUCAUGGUUAAGUGGGAAACGAUGUGGGAAGGCCCAGACAGCCAGGAUGUUGGCUUAGAAGCAGCCAUCAUUUAAAGAAAGCGUAAUAGCUCACUGGUCGAGUCGGCCUGCGCGGAAGAUGUAACGGGGCUAAACCAUGCACCGAAGCUGCGGCAGCGACACUGUGUGUUGUUGGGUAGGGGAGCGUUCUGUAAGCCUGUGAAGGUGUGUCGUGAGGCAUGCUGGAGGUAUCAGAAGUGCGAAUGCUGACAUAAGUAACGAUAAAGCGGGUGAAAAGCCCGCUCGCCGGAAGACCAAGGGUUCCUGUCCAACGUUAAUCGGGGCAGGGUGAGUCGACCCCUAAGGCGAGGCCGAAAGGCGUAGUCGAUGGGAAACGGGUUAAUAUUCCCGUACUUGGUGUUACUGCGAAGGGGGGACGGAGAAGGCUAUGUUGGCCGGGCGACGGUUGUCCCGGUUUAAGCGUGUAGGUGUGUGUUCCAGGUAAAUCCGGUUCACUUUAACACUGAGGCGUGACGACGAGGCACUACGGUGCUGAAGCAACAAAUGCCCUGCUUCCAGGAAAAGCCUCUAAGCAUCAGGUAACAUCAAAUCGUACCCCAAACCGACACAGGUGGUCAGGUAGAGAAUACCAAGGCGCUUGAGAGAACUCGGGUGAAGGAACUAGGCAAAAUGGUGCCGUAACUUCGGGAGAAGGCACGCUGACACGUAGGUGAAGUGAUUUACUCAUGGAGCUGAAGUCAGUCGAAGAUACCAGCUGGCUGCAACUGUUUAUUAAAAACACAGCACUGUGCAAACACGAAAGUGGACGUAUACGGUGUGACGCCUGCCCGGUGCCGGAAGGUUAAUUGAUGGGGUCAGCGCAAGCGAAGCUCCUGAUCGAAGCCCCGGUAAACGGCGGCCGUAACUAUAACGGUCCUAAGGUAGCGAAAUUCCUUGUCGGGUAAGUUCCGACCUGCACGAAUGGCGUAAUGAUGGCCAGGCUGUCUCCACCCGAGACUCAGUGAAAUUGAACUCGCUGUGAAGAUGCAGUGUACCCGCGGCAAGACGGAAAGACCCCGUGAACCUUUACUAUAGCUUGACACUGAACAUUGAGCCUUGAUGUGUAGGAUAGGUGGGAGGCUUUGAAGUGUGGACGCCAGUCUGCAUGGAGCCGACCUUGAAAUACCACCCUUUAAUGUUUGAUGUUCUAACGUGGACCCGUUACCCGGGUUGCGGACAGUGUCUGGUGGGUAGUUUGACUGGGGCGGUCUCCUCCUAAAGAGUAACGGAGGAGCACGAAGGUUGGCUAAUCCUGGUCGGACAUCAGGAGGUUAGUGCAAUGGCAUAAGCCAGCUUGACUGCGAGCGUGACGGCGCGAGCAGGUGCGAAAGCAGGUCAUAGUGAUCCGGUGGUUCUGAAUGGAAGGGCCAUCGCUCAACGGAUAAAAGGUACUCCGGGGAUAACAGGCUGAUACCGCCCAAGAGUUCAUAUCGACGGCGGUGUUUGGCACCUCGAUGUCGGCUCAUCACAUCCUGGGGCUGAAGUAGGUCCCAAGGGUAUGGCUGUUCGCCAUUUAAAGUGGUACGCGAGCUGGGUUUAGAACGUCGUGAGACAGUUCGGUCCCUAUCUGCCGUGGGCGCUGGAGAACUGAGGGGGGCUGCUCCUAGUACGAGAGGACCGGAGUGGACGCAUCACUGGUGUUCGGGUUGUCAUGCCAAUGGCACUGCCCGGUAGCUAAAUGCGGAAGAGAUAAGUGCUGAAAGCAUCUAAGCACGAAACUUGCCCCGAGAUGAGUUCUCCCUGAGACUUAGAGUCUCCUGAAGGAACGUUGAAGACGACGACGUUGAUAGGCCGGGUGUGUAAGCGCAGCGAUGCGUUGAGCUAACCGGUACUAAUGAACCGUGAGGCUUAACCUUACAACGCCGAAG